rnacentral:sRNA from 1 species
GAAUAGCCCAGAUUGUAGUGAAAAGCCUUUUUUAUGGAAAACUACUUUUUGUUGUUUUUAAAAAGCGACACCAGAAGCUCUUUUAAAAACGUACAAAAUGGGUUUGGAAUAAAAAAGCUUGAAACGAAAAGCUGGAAUGGCU